GUGCUCGCUUUGGCAGGAUAUAUACUAAACUUUGAAUAAUACAGAGAAGAUUAGCAUGGCCCCUGCCAAAGGAUGACACGCAAAUUCAUGAAACAUUCCAUAUUUUU
ensembl:snRNA U6 U6 spliceosomal RNA